AGCUUGAGUAAAUACAUGGAUGGCGGUCAUCAUUAUCUCGGAGAUCUCGUUACGGAGAGAAAUUGUACGAUUUAUCGCAGGUUUGUGAAUAAUCAGUCGGGAUAAAUCAGCCGGCCGAGGCACGCAGCUCGCCUUCGCCUUUUUGUUUUAGCGUGUCCUGGAAAGUGGUUACUCAGUCUCCGUCUCGUCGAUGCAGCAACCCCAUCCUUCAUCGAGCGCGUCUGCCACUGCAAUCCGGUUGCAAUCAUUUUCCUUUGGAUCCCGAUCAAUUAGUUCCGCCCGCCCGAGUGCUGUUUGAAGCAAGAUGAUGAUAAGUUUGAACAUUGCCUUUUUAAACUUCCAUGUAGUUAGUACCUAUUAGGUUCUUGCAUGUUUGGUUCAUAAUAACUAGCACAAAAAGGAACAAGUCAAUAAUCCUGCCUGCAAUCAGAAAAGGAGCUAUUUGCGAGGCUGCAUUUACAAACUGACGUAAUGCGACAGCUGCAAAGCUGGACUUACGCGACGAGGCUUGCGCCCGCGCUUCUCUACAAGAACUAAAGGAUAAAUAGACAUGUAUUUAGUUUAGUUAAUCAGAUGCACCGUACUCCAUGAUCAGAUCGGAGAUGGGCAGAAAAUUUUAAAAUAGUCAAAAUAUGUUUUAACUAAUCUUAUUUGAGGAUACAUAGAGGUAAUCUCGGCAAACAUAUAGAUAAAUUAAUAAGCAAGAAAAAAGUGCAAUCUCCAUUUGGCUCUUCAGUCCCAAUAAAAACUACGCUGCAUAGUUACAUCGCAGUGCAAGUGUCGAGAUUCCUCGUAGUGAGCUGAUUGCGACAGAGCUACUCAACGGCCCCUAACGAGUUCCACAUACUACUGUAUUCAUGAUUGAUUGCAGCUUUAAUUACGAAAUCUUAAUAACCUGUACUUGCUGUGGAUGCCCUGUAAUUUUCCUAUCCGAAUAAACCAAGAAACGUUAAUUUAUUAGCAUUUAAAUUAGCUAAUAAGAUCCGUUUUUAAAGAAACAGUUCACACAUUUACUUAAAAUAAUAAUUGACAUGUACUUACAUAAUUAGCUAGUGUGCAAAGUAAAUAAGUACCAGUCAAUGUUUUAUCUCAUAAGACGGCAACAUUGUUAAGAAACUCGACUUGAAUUUCCAUCUUUCAAAGUAGUUUCCACAAAACAUUGCAAUGUAGUAUUUAAUACCGACUCAGAAGACACUCAAGGUCCAGAUAUAGAUGCUGGUAUACUGUUUGUUGUUGUAAAUAGUAAUGAGUAUGAUAAACCAUCUGGCAAUGAGCGAGCUAGUGACCAUUACUUGCUGACAAAUGGCCGACGCGCCAAAGCUUUUAGAGGUAAGAUAAAAAGUGAAAAAAGUGUAAGAAUGUCUAUUAAUCAUAGAUGCGCAGUAAUAUGGACGUUACUGGAGGUAAAUGAGGAUAUCGCGAUUAUUGCAGCAUUCUGCGGGAACCGGAUUGCGGGCUGGAUUGCGGGUUUUGGAGAUCGGCUAUAUGACUCCUGAUCAUACGAAGAAUUUCACCAAAUUAUGGCUCCUUUAUGAUCUUAAAACAAAGCAUCGAGACUACUCUUAGCAUUAAGAUAUUGCGAAUGUUUAUUUUAACUUGUAAUAUUUAUUGUUGUAAAAUGAUUGUAGUAAUUACUCACUUAAGAAGACUAAUAACUAACCUUACCUUUUCUCCCAAAUUUAUGACAAAACCGAUCAUUGAGACGCAGCAUCAACACGUCGCAUAGUACACAGAACACAACACAUCAACACGUCCAUUUUGUAUGUACACUGUUGCAUUUCUCAGUAAGUGAUCACAGUUUAUAUGCUCGGUGUUCGUGGGAUACCAGCGCCUGCGCCUGCUACGUACCGUGGUACGUAGCAGGCGCUGGUAUUCCACACACCUUCUUAUGAUCACUAAAAUAAAUCGGUUCCACCAUUAAAUCAAUGAAGAAACAUGUCUUGCCUCAGCUCAGUUUUAAUUUUAUUUUAGGAAUAGCUUGAUGUUAUUCAAAGAAUUUUCGAUUUUCUUGGGAGCCUUGGGACCUACCAUUUUUGUGCUUUAAACUAUAUGUGACCAUUCAGUUUAGUUAUCCUGGUUACUUCGGAUCAAGCAAAUGAUUUUGCAAUCCACGUAAGGCACCUUCGUAAAGGUUCUCGAGCCAAUUUAGCAUUUAGCUCAGGUUUUCUCAACGUCUGCUGUCGGAUGUCGGCAGCAAUUUGUUGCAGUCGGCCGAGACGUAAUGAGAGACUUGAUCUUGACUCGACAAUUACAGAAAAUUUCGUGUGCUUUACCAAUAAUAACGCCUAAGUUAAUGGAAGACAGUUUCUAAAAUGAAUGUGGUUUCUCACUACACCUAGCCAAAUCUAAAGAUAAGGCCGCCUAUGUACGUCUUUCGUUGUCUUGAUCUAAAUUGUAUCUUGUUAUUGGUGCAAUAAAAUGUUUUUACUUAU